GCUGGCCCCAGGGCAGUGCUAGGGGACACUCUGGGGCAGGGAGCUGGGCGGGGGCUCAGCAGGCAGGCCUGGUCCCAUUGCCCUAUAACCCAGCUCGGAUUCAGGGCGGUGUCCCCUGGGCAUCUCAUGGUCUGGACCCACUGCCGCCUCAGGCCAGAAAGGCAACAGCCUCCCUACACCCAACACAUGGGGAAACUGAGGCACAGGGCGGGGGGGGCACACACAGACCCUGCCAUCCUGGAGGAGAGAGCACUCGUGGCUGCAGCCAGUGGGUGGGGGGGGGGGGGAGAUCACAGAUCAGAUCAAGGCACAGAAGGGGGUGUGGGUGUGUUAUUGUGGGUUUGUGUGUGUGUUUGGACAGUGUUGUAUGUUAGAGUGUUAUGUGCUUGCAUAAUAAGUGUGGGUGGGUGUGUAUAGUGGGGUGUGUUGGCAGAGCAGUGUGGGUGUGUUUGUGUGUAGCAUUGUGUGUAGCAAUGUGGGGGGGCUUUGUGUUUAGUGGUGGGGGGCGUAGCAGGGGUGUGCGUCCAGUGGCAGUAGGGGCUGUGUGUGCUCAGCGGUGUGGGGUUGGGUGUGUGUAGCUGUAUGUAUAGCAGGAGUGUGUUUGUAGAGCAAUGUGUGGUAUCUGUGUUUGCACAGUUGUGUGUGUGUGUUUUAGAGUUGUGUGGGUGUGUGUGUAGUCUGUAGAGCAGUGUGUGUGUUUGUACAAUAGUGUGUGUGUGUUUGCAGAGUGGGCUGUGUGUGUAGUGGGGUUGUUUGCAGAGCAGUAUCUGUGUGUGUUGUGGGUGGGUGUUUGUAGGGCAAUGUGUGUGUGUAGUGGGUGUCUCUUUGUAGAGCAGUGUGUGUGUUUGUAGCGGGGUGUGUGUUUGCAGAGCACUGCAUGUAUGUGGCGGUGUGUGCACAGCAGUGUGUGUGUGUGUGUGUGUACAUAGUGGGUGUGUGUUUGUAGAGCAGUGUGUGUAUGUGUAGUGUAUGUGUGUAGCUGGGGGCAGGUUGUGUGGUGUGUGUGUGUAGCUGGGGGGCAGGUUGUGUGGCGGUGCAGUGUGUGUAGCUGGGGGGCAGGUUGUGUGGCGGUGUGGUGUGUGUGUGUGUAGCUGGGGGCAGGUUGUGUGGUGUGCGUGUGUAUAGCUGGGAGGCAGGUUGUGUGGCGGUGUGGUGUGUGUGUGUGUAGCUGGGGGCAGGUUGUGUGGCGGUGUGGUGUGUGUAGCUGGGGGGCAGGUUGUGUGGCAGUGUGGUGUGUGUGUGUAGCUGAGGGCAGGUUGUGUGGUGGUGUGGUGUGUGUGUGUGUAGCUGGGGCAGGUUGUGUGGUGUGCAUGUGUAUAGCUGGGGGGCAGGUUGUGUGGCGGUGUGGUGUGUGUGUGUGUAGCUGGGGGCAGGUUGUGUGGCAGUGUGGUGUGUAGCUGGGGGGCAGGUUGUGUGGAGGUGUGGUGUGUGUGUGUAGCUGGGGGCAGGUUGUGUGGCGGUGCGGUGUGUGUGUGUGUAGCUGGGGCAGGUUGUGUGGUGUGCAUGUGUAUAGCUGGGGGGCAGGUUGUGUGGUGGUGUGGUGUGUGUGUGUGUAGCUGGGGGCAGGUUGUGUGGUGUAUGUGUGUAUAGCUGGGGGCCAGGUUGUGUGGCGGUGUGGUGUGUGUGUGUGUAGCUGGGGGCAGGUUGUGUGGCAGUGUGGUGUGUAGCUGGGGGGCAGGUUGUGUGGAGGUGUGGUGUGUGUGUGUAGCUGGGGGCAGGUUGUGUGGCGGUGCGGUGUGUGUGUGUGUAGCUGGGGGCAGGUUGUGUGGCGGUGCAGUGUGUGUAGCUGGGGAGCAGGUUGUGUGGUGUCGGUGUGUGUAGCUGGGGGGCAGGUUGUGUGGCAGAGCAGUGUGUGUAGCUGGGGGGCAGGUUGUGUGGUGUGUGUGUGUGUGUGUAGCUGGGGGCAGGUUGUGUGGUGUGUGUGUGUGUGUGUAGCUGGGGGGCAGGUUGUGUGGCGGUGCGGUGUGUGUG